UACGUAGGGUGCAAGCGUUAAUCGGAAUUACUGGGCGUAAAGCGUGCGCAGGCGGUUGUGCAAGACAGAUGUGAAAUCCCCGGGCUCAACCUGGGAACUGCAUUUGUGACUGCACGGCUGGAGUGCGGCAGAGGGGGAUGGAAUUCCGCGUGUAGCAGUGAAAUGCGUAGAUAUCAGGAGGAACAUCGAUGGCGAAGGCAGCCCCUUGGACCUGUACUGACGCUCAUGCACGAAAGCGUGGGGAGCAAACAGG
rnacentral:rRNA from 1 species